AUUGAACGCUGGCGGCAGGCCUAACACAUGCAAGUCGAACGAGUGGCGGACGGGUGAGUAAUGUCUGGGAAACUGCCUGAUGGAGGGGGAUAACUACUGGAAACGGUAGCUAAUACCGCAUACCAUCAGAUGUGCCCAGAUGGGCUUAGCUUGUUGGUGGGGUAACGGCUCACCAAGGCGACGAUCCCUCGCUGGUCUGAGAGGAUGACCAGCCACACGGGUACUGAGAAACGGUCAAGACUCCUAGCGGAGGCAGCAGUGGGGAAUAUUGGGCAAGGGGCGAAAGCCUGAUACAGCCAUGCCGCAUGUAUGAAGAAGGCCGGCGGGUUGUAAAGUACUUUCAGCGGUGAGGCGUUACCCGCAGAAGAAGCACCGGCUAACUCCGUGCCAGCAGCCGCGGUAAUAC
rnacentral:rRNA from 1 species